rnacentral:rRNA from 1 species
UACGGGAGGCAGCAGUGGGGAAUUUUGGACAAUGGGCGCAAGCCUGAUCCAGCCAUGCCGCGUGCGGGAAGAAGGCCUUCGGGUUGUAAACCGCUUUUGUCAGGGAAGAAAUCCUCUGGGUUAAUACCUCGGGGGGAUGACGGUACCUGAAGAAUAAGCACCGGCUAACUACGUGCCAGCAGCCGCGGUAAUA